rnacentral:rRNA from 1 species
AUUGAACGCUGGCGGCAGGCCUAACACAUGCAAGUCGAGCGGAUGAAGGGAGCUUGCUCCUGGAUUCAGCGGCGGACGGGUGAGUAAUGCCUAGGAAUCUGCCUGGUAGUGGGGGAUAACGUCCGGAAACGGGCGCUAAUACCGCAUACGUCCUGAGGGAGAAAGUGGGGGAUCUUCGGACCUCACGCUAUCAGAUGAGCCUAGGUCGGAUUAGCUAGUUGGUGGGGUAAAGGCCUACCAAGGCGACGAUCCGUAACUGGUCUGAGAGGAUGAUCAGUCACACUGGAAAUGAGAAACGGUCCAGGAUCCUACGGGGGGCAGCAGGGGGGAAUAUUGGGCAGUGGGCGAAAGCCUAAUCCAGCCAUGGCGGGUGUGUGAAGAAGGUCUUCGGAUUGUAAAGCACUUUAAGUUGGGAGGAAGGGAAGUAAGUUAAAACCUUGCUGUUUUGGCGUUACCAACAAAAAAAGCCCCGGCUAACUUCGU